AUUGAACGCUGGCGGCAGGCCUAACACAUGCAAGUCGAGCGAGCGGCGGACGGGUGAGUACUGUCUGGGAACCUGCCUGAUGGCGGGGGAUAACUACUGGAAACGGUAGCUAAUACCGCAUACCAUCCUCUUUGCCCAGAUGGGAUUAGCUAGUAGGUGGGGUAACGGCUCACCUAGGCGACGAUCCCGAGCUGGUCUGAGAGGAGGACCAGCCACACGGGAACUGAGACACGGUCCAGACUCCUACGGGAGGCAGCAGUGGGGAAUAGUGCACAAUGGGCGCAAGCCUGAGGCAGCCAUGCCGCGUGUAUGAAGAAGGCCUUCGGGUUGUAAAGUACUUUCAGCGGGGAGGCGUUACCCGCAGAAGAAGCACCGGCUAACUCCGUGCCAGCCGCCGCGGUAAUUC
rnacentral:rRNA from 1 species